CUAUUAGUAUUACUAUUACUAUUAGUAUUACUGUUACUAUUACUAUUACUAAGACUGGAAAUAGAGGAGUUCUGCAGAAAUUGUAAAAGUCUUUUGAAGAAAGAAAUAUGCUCUUUUCUCCGUGUCUUUCAAGUAACAUCACCUGUUUCUUGGGGCUCCGCAUUAACUCAAAGUAUAAGAUCAACCCAGAAGGGCAACAGAAAAUCUGGAGAACACUGUCUUCACAACAUCCAGGGUUCAAGACCUCUUCCACUGCAACAUACCAUGAAGAAAAUGAACAAUAACUAAGUGAAUGAUCCAGAACAAAUGGAGAAAGGAGAGGAAUUCCAGUGUAGCCAUAUCCUAGUUGCAAAGGAUUAUAAUAUUAUCCAAAGUCUCAAGUAUGUGGAAUGUCAGGUGAUAAACAUAAGGUGAAAUUACACCCCCAAAUCUUUAACACCUAUGAAAAUAAUGAGAGAACAUAAGAAUUUCAUAGCAACUGGAGAAAUAAGGAAAACUAAGCAGUAUAUCCAUUCUAUUCCUGUUGGCUUAGCAAAUGCAUGUGUGACUUCAGUUCUUGAUGCAUUUGCGUGUUAUGUUACACAUUGAUCUACCUAAGAAGUCAUCCUUUGAAUAGCACAAACUUCAACAUGGAAGAUAAGAUUUUCACACAUGGUGAGCUUGCUAUGCAAGUACAUUUUCAGUCUACGUUGAUCAAGGAUAUCAGUUUAAAGCUUUCCUUUUACAUUGCACCUUCCUCUGAAUUUGGCCUUAGGAAAAUACUAUGUAAACAGAAUGAGCUGGGCAGUGUUGCCCCCCUCUUUCUUCAUCCCUGAUGCCCUUUUUCUUUUCCUCAGAAUGUAGUAACUGAUUUAUAACACCAAUGCUCCUCCUUGACAGAAUCUCUGGAAAGUCUUCUUUUGUCCACCAUCUUUUCUUGGAGCAUCUGACUGGCAUCAAACACAAUUGUUUUGAAUAAUUUCUCUUUGUCUUCCCAUUCUUCUCCUUUUAUAGGGGAUCAAAACUUGGAUGAGUGUAUUUGUUGUCAUGUUUUUAGUUCUUUCUGUGUUGUCUGAUCGCAACUUUAUCAAGUAGGCUGAGACAAUGACACCCAAAGGAUCAAGUGGGUUUUGUAAAGGUCUGGAAGACUGUUGUAACCUGAUGGGCCCUCGGAGGCUUUCUUAACAUCAUUCAUUGAUAGAUUAGCAAAUCAUACACAAAACAGGUCACAAGUCAGGCAUGAUUGCACUAAGUACACAGUGAUUCCCCUGAAUUAUCAAAGUGUCUAUUUUUGGUAAAAACUUAUGUAAAGUCAGCAAGAUUGUAUGCUAAAAAUUUCUAAGGAUGUUCUCCUUUAUAACAGCAUUUAAAAGAGUCAAAACUUUGCCAGAAUAACUUUUAUUUUUAGAACGUUGGCAAUUAACCAAAGCAUCAUUCUGAGAGGCUUUAUUGAAUAAAAAAAAAUGGCUGAAUCUUGGUAA